rnacentral:rRNA from 1 species
AUUGAACGCUGGCGGCAUGCUUUACACAUGCAAGUCGAACGGUAACAGGCCUUCGGGUGCUGACGAGUGGCGAACGGGUGAGUAAUGCAUCGGAACGUACCCAGAGGUGGGGGAUAACGCAGCGAAAGCUGUGCUAAUACCGCAUGUGAUCUGAGGAUGAAAGCGGGGGACCGAGCAGCAAUGUUUGGCCUCGCGCCUUUGGAGCGGCCGAUGUCGGAUUAGCUAAUUGGCGGGGUAAAGGCCUACCAAGGCGACGAUCCGUAGCUGGUCUGAGAGGACGACCAGCCACACUGGGACUGAGACACGGCCCAGACUCCUACGGGAGGCAGCAGUGGGGAAUUUUGGACAAUGGGCGCAAGCCUGAUCCAGCAAUGCCGCGUGCGGGAAGAAGGCCUUCGGGUUGUAAACCGCUUUUGGCAGGAACGAAACGGUGUCCGCUAAUACCGGGCGCUAAUGACGGUACCUGCAGAAUAAGCACCGGCUAACUACGUG